rnacentral:rRNA from 1 species
GUGGGGAAUAUUGCACAAUGGGCGAAAGCCUGAUGCAGCAACGCCGCGUGAGGGACGACGGCCUUCGGGUUGUAAACCUCUUUUAGUAGGGAAGAAGCGAAAGUGACGGUACCUGCAGAAAAAGCACCGGCUAACUACGUGCCAGUAGCCGCGGUAAUACGUAGGGUGCAAGCGUUAUCCGGAAUUAUUGGGCGUAAAGAGCUCGUAGGCGGUCUGUCGCGUCUGCUGUGAAAACUGGAGGCUCAACCUCCAGCCUGCAGUGGGUACGGGCAGACUAGAGUGCGGUAGGGGAGAUUGGAAUUCCUGGUGUAGCGGUGGAAUGCGCAGAUAUCAGGAGGAACACCGAUGGCGAAGGCAGAUCUCUGGGCCGUAACUGACGCUGAGGAGCGAAAGCGUGGGGAGCGAACAGGAUUAGAUACCCGUGUAGUCC